rnacentral:rRNA from 1 species
GAUGAACGCUGGCGGUAUGCUUAACACAUGCAAGUCGAACGGUCACUUCGGUGAUAGUGGCGGACGGGUGAGUAACGCGUGAGAAUCUGUCUUCAGGUCGGGGACAACAGUUAGAAAUGACUGCUAAUACCGGAUGUGCCUUUGGGUGAAAGAUUUAUUGCCUGAAAAAGAGCUCGCGUCAGAUUAGCUAGUAGGUGGUGUAAGAGACUACCUAGGCUCCGAUCUGUAGCUGGUCUGAGAGGACGAUCAGCCACACUGGAACUGAGACACGGUCCAGACUCCUACGGGAGGCAGCAGUGGGGAAUUUUCCGCAAUGGGCGAAAGCCUGACGGAGCAAUACCGCGUGAAUGACGAAGGCUUUUGGGUCGUAAAACUCUUUUCUCAAGGAAGAUGAUGACGGUACUUGAGGAAUAAGCAUCGGCUAACUCUGUG